rnacentral:lncRNA from 1 species
GCACCAAAGCGGUGGUAAGGCCACGACCCUUCCUUCCUCCUUGCAGCGUUUUAGCCCCCCCACCCUUCCUAUAGCUAACAAACUAGUUUGCUUUGACGAUCCUAUCAUAUCCUAUCCAUGGAGUAGCUUGGAUUUGGUUUCAGUUUACUAUGUACAUGCAGGGAUGGUUGGUUUCAGAGAUGGUCUAGGCCCUAUUUUUUCAGCUGUAACAAAAUCAUCAACUGAGCUAGCUUUCAACCCUUUUUUUGCCAUGGUUUUGGGUUGGUCCUGCUUACGCCAAAUUGAUCCAUUGGCUUGGUUCAGUUUAUAUAGAGCUCUCCAUGCCCAAGAAUAAGAAAAUCUUGCCGCCAAUCUGAUGCUACAAUUGUGUCUUUUUUACUGUUAUAUUAUGUGUGCCACUGAACAUUCAAACUUUAACCUUUGCUUGUCUAAAAUCAGACUUUCUUCUAUUGUGAAUGGAGUGUUUGCUUGUUGUGCUGGAAAAGUAGUUCAUUCAUCGCUCAUUUGACAUGUGCGAGCAAUGUGUACAGACUGCAUUUAGAUUCCAACCCAACUAGAUUAUAGUUUAAGCGUUUUAGACCAAGCCAUCUUGGUUUGGCGGCCAUGGGGAGACGAGGAGGAGGGGCAGCAGGAGGCGGUGGACGACAUGGCCACGGCAGUGCCCCCUUUCCGUUGUAGAACUACCACGCUGACUGCCGCUGUGCAUCACAUUUGUAUGUAAUCAAGUCUAUACUCAUGUGAGGCAUAUCUAGUCACUCUCGCCUCCGCCAGGGAUGCAAUAGCCUCACCUUCAUACUAUAGCAACCCAGGGGCGGAUCCGGCAUAGGUAUAUGACAAAAAGUACUGCGUACAUGCUUGAGUUCAGACUUCAGAGAGUACGCGGAGUGAGUUAACAACUCAGUUUCAGUCCAGAUAAACUAGUCUAAGCAAGCCAGCAGUUCACCAAUCCCCUCCAAAGUUCCAAUUUGAAAUUGCAUUCAUGUGUAGCUUCUGUUUGGAUUUAGAGAUGUAUCUUUGUAAAUAGAACUGUCCUGAUGUAAUUGAUUCCAUUAAUAAAAGAAUAACAAAUGAAUUUUUUAAAAGCAAAUGUAGGCUGAAAUGGAAAAAAAGAGUUGAUGUUAGGGUGAACUUUUUAACACCCAAAGUUGAAUUCUUGGAUCCGCCACUGCAACAACCCCGGGGAUGCAACAUGCCCCCUCGCUGGCGGUGGUGGUGGCACUCAUGCCGAGCUGAGAGACGGUCGACCUGCUGUCAUCAAUGUCGUCACGGCCUCGGCCACGGUGACCACAGCCAUAGCGGCCACGGCCACGACUAAUUUAUUUUUGUAUUUUGGAGUGUCCCACAUUUGGUGUAAAUAGUCCCAAGUUUUCCUUUUCACUAUGUAAAAUAUUACCAAGCUAAUACCAGAACCACUGUCCGGACUUCUUAAAAGCAUAUGUGCCUAUACUAAAGCAUACUGCCACAUUCAGCUUAUUUAACCUUGGCAGUUUGCUUACCACAUUCGGGCUAGGUUACUGCAUCUGUAUGUAUUGGGAGUAGCCUUGUCGGGAUGGGCUCUAAUUGGUGUGUCAUGUGUAUGCCUCACAGCUUUAGUAUACACUUGAUUACAUUUUAUUGAUGUACACAUAUAUAUGCUCCGUUUGAUCUUUGAAGCCUAGCUUUCAAUUUCUAAAUCAAAAUUGUAGACAUAUGUUAUGCUAAAAGACUUCUGUUCUGCAUGCUUUUGUUCUGCACACUAUAACACAAUUUGAUUUCAUUUAAUCUUUGAAGCCUAGCUUAGUUUUGCUUACAACAGCUUCAGUAUAGACUUGAAUAGAUAUUUUUCCGGUUACUUUUUUAUGCCUGCUUUAAGUAUCGCGUUUCUUCUGAAAUUGACUCAAAUUAUGAUAUUACGUACAGAAGGGCACAAGGAUGAAUUCAACGCAAGAUCCUACUGGUGAUCCAACAGAUGGGAGCCCAACAGACGCAAACACAUCAGGUGAUUAUGUCAUAUGCUUGCGAACUUGUCAGAUUUGUUUGCUUACUUGCAUUGUUGAAAAUGCACUUCUAUUUGCAGAUGCCUAAGAAAAGGACUGGCAAAUAAAAUAGGAAUCCAAACUUGCAAAAUUCUCUUUUACAGACCGCUAGUACUACUGGGACUCUAGGUACAAGGCACAAUGUAAUUGCUCCAAAUACGCUCAUACAAGUUGCAACAAUGAAUUCUCGAAUGUUUCGAGCAAUGGUAAGUCACAAGGUUGGUUUGUCUUCAUGUUGGCCUUUAUUUGAUACGUAAAUGGCCUUCAUAAUGUGCAAUCAUCUGCUUGCUUGCACUAUUGUACUUUUUUUGUUGCUGAAGCACAUACAGUAGGGAAGCCAGAAAUAGAACAGUUUUCUCACCAUUAGAAAUUGUGAACUUGUGCCAGCAUGUAGUUGUUUCGGAGAAAUUUAGUUUGAUUAAUUUAGGUAAUUAUUCUUUUGUUUGAACUAAAUCUUUUGUAAAAUUAUCCAAUUCUUUUUGCAUAGCACCUAAUUGUUGAUGGAGUAGUACAACAGUCACAAGAAUUUGCUUGCUAGCUGUUGUGGUCAUGACAAUUUGUCAGGAAGAUACCCAUGCAUGCACGAAUAUAGUAAUUAUACAAUUGUCAUGAUACUGGUUAUAUCUUUCUGCUAAUUAUUCGUUGUGUUGUUUCUUUAUUUUCCUGACUAAAUAUUUUCUAUUUUCAAUUAACUUGAGCUAAAUAAAUUUCUGAUUUCUUCAUAGCAGGAUCCAAAGAUUUAGCUUGAAUGGACUCUAGACCACGGACAAUUUAAUCUUUGCUCUUAAUUAGGAUGGCACAUUCAGUAUGUUGAAUGCAUGCUAAAUUAUAUUACAGUUUAUUGUGAUGGAUAUUGGGUAUGCAAACUUUGAUGUCUGAUGAAUCUACAUCAUAUAUGCAUUAUUUGAAUUUUGUAAUUGAAUGCCUGUAUAUUUUUUCGGUUACAGUAGGCUAUUACCACAAACUACUUUUGGUUGCAACAUGUUGGCACCACGGAAAAUUAGCGUUGCAUCAAAUCUUAGUCGCCACGCUGACCUGUUUUGUAGCACUAGGCGGUGGCGACGAAACACUUCAUAUAGUCGC